rnacentral:tRNA from 1 species
GCCCCGAUGGCGGAAUCGGUAGACGCAGGGGACUCAAAAUCCCCCGCCGCAAGGUGUGCCGGUUCGAGUCCGGCUUGGGGCA